UAUAUUCCCCUCCUCGGGAUUAUUUCCCACUCCACUCCGGAGCAACCCCCCCCAGCCCGGUGCACGGUGGAGACGCAGCCGCCUGGCUCCGACCCCCCCUGGAAGGAGGCAGGAAGGGGGCAUCCAUCUCCCCGCCGGCAGGAGCGCGGGUGGCUUUGCAGCGCGGGGGCCGCGCAGGUGAUGGGCUCCCGCCGGGCGCCGCCCGCAUGCGGCGGGACUAGUCCGCACUAGGGACCGUACAAACGCAUCCCGCCCGGGCGCCGAGGGAUGGUGCUGAGCCCCGCCGCGGCUGGAGCCGCCGCCGCGCGAUGAGGACCUGGGCUGGCGCCUUGCUGCUAGGGUUUGCCUACCUGGCCUUUGCCUUCUCGGAGGAGGCUGAGAUCCCCCAGGAGCUCAUCGAGAGGCUGGCGCACAGCGAGAUCCACAGCAUCCGCGACUUGCAGCGCCUCCUGGAGAUUGAUUCCGUAGGAUAUGACGAAGUUUCAGAAACAAAUUUGAGGUCUCAUAGCGUUCACGCAGCAAAACAUGCGCAAGAGAAUCGCCCUGUACCUGUUCGCAGAAAAAGAAGCAUCGAGGAAGCCAUCCCUGCUGUCUGCAAAACAAGAACUGUUAUAUACGAGAUACCUCGGAGUCAGAUUGAUCCCACCUCUGCCAAUUUCCUGAUAUGGCCACCAUGCGUGGAGGUGAAACGUUGCACUGGCUGCUGCAACACCAGCAGUGUGAAAUGCCAGCCAUCACGGAUACAUCACAGAAGUGUCAAGGUGGCAAAAGUGGAAUAUGUUAGAAAAAAGCCAAAAUUAAAAGAAGUUCUGGUGAGGUUAGAAGAGCAUAUGGAGUGCACCUGUACAUCAUCAAAUUCUAAUUCAGAUUAUCGAGAAGAAGAAACUGGAAGGCCUAGGGAAACAGGUAAAAAACGGAAACGAAAAAAGUUAAAACCAACCUAAAAACUACUGGAACUAUUUGAUAAUCAGAUUAACAGGUAUUUAUUGGGAGUAGUAUGAUAGAAGCAAAGAUUUUGUAAAAUUCGUCUUUAAAAGUGAGCAUGUAAACUCAAUCAAAACAGCAUUUAGAGCUUCUUGUCCCAGAUGUAAGGUGAAAAUAAGCUAGAAAAACAAACAAACUUCUCUCUGGGACAUGGAUGUACAUGGUUUGUUACAUUCCUGAACCUACUAUGUAUGGUGCUUUAUUGACUGUAUACUUUAUUUGUUCUCCCAAGUGAAAAAAACUGGCUCUAAAGGACACUUAAUGAGAACAAAGAGACAAUGUACAUUUGUUUAAUGUGACAUCAAAGCAAGUAUUGUAGCACUCUGUGAAACAAUAGGAAGCUUCCCUAUCUAAAAAACGGGAAAAAAAAAGAGAAAAAAAAAAAGAGAAGAGUCAAGGAAAAACUAAAGAAAGAAAGACAGUUGAAUGAAUGGAGGAUACCAAAAGUACUCAAAUAAAUGACAAAAAUCUCAGUGAAUAGUGGAUUUCUGUCAGAGCAGUCAACGGUGCUUUAUGUCAAGAAAUGUGCCUGCUUUCUUGAUGAAGAUGGAUGGACACUGAUGGACUUCAGGCACACACACACAAAAAAGCAGGAAUGUAUCAAGUGAUCAAAUGCCACGCAAACACUAUAGAAACAAUACAUCCUUGCUUGGUAGUGUUUUAAAGUCUAUACAAAAAUAAGAAAAAAGAACAACAACAACAAAAAAAAAACCUUCUGGGGAGCCUUAAGUGGAUUUUUUUUACACCAUAAAGUGAUUAUUAAGCUUUCUUUUUACUCUUUGCCUAGCUUUUUAUUAUCUCUUGGACUACAUUUACCGAUAACACGUAUAGAAGACUGGUGUAACAGUAAGCAGAACACAAGCAUUAUGGUAUUUCUCCUAGUGGGAUGCAAACUAAUGAGAUGUAUUAAAAUAAAAAUGGUAUACCUAUGCAUAAUUUUCUAGACGUUUUUGGUUUAUGUUCCCCACUCUGCCCCCCUCUGCCCUGUAAUUUAAAGCAUAAAAAAAAAAAAAAGAGGCAACGUGCUUAAACAAAUCAUAGGAUACCCAUGCAAACAUCCUUUAUUUCCCUUUGAAAGUUAUGCCAGUUGCCUAAUAGUGAUAUUGUGUUAGCAAUUGUCAUUCUUAUCAGUAUACAACGACGUUUAUUUCACAUGUUGGAGCUGUGUGAAAUGUACAAAAACUCUUCUUGUAUCCGCAUUGUACAAUGUCAUUGUGGCAUGGGAAAUUCCUUGCUGCAUAUAUUUGAACAAAACCUAAAAAUUCUUUAUUUUUGGUAAAAUGUUAUGCUUUAUGUGUAUUCAACAGAAAUAUGUGUUUUUGUAAAGGUGAAGUUUGUAUUUUUAUCUAAAAUUAACAGUUUUAUAUACCUGAGAAAGCCUGCUAUGUUUUCUUGAACCAAAAAAAAACAAAAAAAGCGAAAAAAAAAAAAAAAGCAUUUUGUGGUCAUAUUUUUGUAGUAGAAUAGCCCAAAUAUCUUCAAAAUAUAUUUUAACUAUAGCAGGGCAGAUAAAGUCUUCAGGCACCAGUUCCUACAUUUGCAAAGUGCCGAAGGAUUUAACUGUUCAGCUUUCCCAUGGCUUGUAAUGGUAAAUCCUUCUCUGCUGCUUUGGAAAUUAAGUAUUGUGCCAGAUAUUCUUGGCUACCCUCUUGGCCAAAACACUGCCCUUCCCCAGUGGUUUAGAUUAUAUGUCCUUUGUUUUAUUUCGAUUAUCACAUUGGACAUGUAAAAUAAACUACUGGAUUCUUUUUUCUUUAUGAAACAUCUCCAAAGAGAUGAAAGAUUUCUCUCUCCUUUGUAUGUAAUGACAAAAGAGCAUGUCUUAAGAAUCAUGUUUCCACCCAGUUUAAAUGUCUCCAAAAGUGAAUGAACUGCAGAGCUUUAAAACGUAAGGAAAAAAACGAGAGAGAGAGAGAGAGAUUUUUUUAAAAACUUUUCCACUUCUUUUAGAUAUGGUUCAAACAUUCCCCCCCCCAGACCUCCCCCUAUUGCUAUGUCCAGUUUCAACCAAACAAAGCAAUUUUAACUAACAGGCAUUAUUGGCUUUGGAUGCUAAUGCAAAGAUAGAGUUAGUCACAGUUCUAUUUUGUGAUCAUUCUCUCAGUGUGUUACAUUAAGCACCAAAACUGGAAAUACAUUUACUAAACCUGUCUGUGCUUGUUCUCCACUAAGUGUACUGUUCACAAUGUUAUGCACAUGAAUGUAUGUGUCUGCGUUUAAAAAAAAAAAAAGUGUAUAAAAUGUAAUUUAUAUAUUUAUGUUUCAGUGGGAUGCCAAUAAUGUUGCUCAGUUCCUUUUUUUUGUCUAAAGAUAUCUAAUGAAAAAGAAUUCAUAUAUCCAUUAAAAUGAUGUAGAUGGAAAAAAAAUA